UGCAGUCGAACGGCAGCACGGGCUUCGGCCUGGUGGCGAGUGGCGAACGGGUGAGUAAUGCAUCGGAACGUGCCCAUGUCGUGGGGGAUAACGUAGCGAAAGCUACGCUAAUACCGCAUACGCCCUGAGGGGGAAAGCGGGGGAUUCUUCGGAACCUCGCGCGAUUGGAGCGGCCGAUGUCGGAUUAGCUAGUAGGUGAGGUAAAGGCUCACCUAGGCGACGAUCCGUAGCGGGUCUGAGAGGAUGAUCCGCCACACUGGGACUGAGACACGGCCCAGACUCCUACGGGAGGCAGCAGUGGGGAAUUUUGGACAAUGGGGGCAACCCUGAUCCAGCCAUGCCGCGUGAGUGAAGAAGGCCUUCGGGUUGUAAAGCUCUUUCGGCCGGGAAGAAAUCGGCGACUCUAACAUAGUCGCUGGAUGACGGUACCGGACUAAGAAGCACCGGCUAACUACGUGCCAGCA
rnacentral:rRNA from 1 species